rnacentral:lncRNA from 1 species
GUAACUCUUCUCAUCUUCACAGAGGUCCAAUCCAGUUCCCACUGACAUCAGACAGAAGGGUGUGAGCCAGCCCUCUGCGGUCUGCCCCAGCCUGAUCAAUAACAUCAAACAUGGAGAGCCCGUGUUGAGAUGGUGGAACUACAAGAUGAAAGCAGCCUGAAUCUCUGGUUCAACUGAUAGCAGAGAGCCUAUGCCAACCCAUGUCUGUUUUUUUGUGUGCAAAAUAAA